AAUAAAAGAUGACUCCCAGCAUAGCGCAGUCAAAAAGCUAGUAUAUCGUUACGCCACCUCAGUCGAAACGUCAAAGCCUAAAAAAGGUGAAAACAACCCCUAAACUAGCUGCGACAGGUGAGGGAGGAGGAGAGAAGAGGCAGGUUGCAACUGCCAAACAGAAAGCUCUUCUUUUUCUCUAUGAUCUGUUCUCUCUCUUCAACCUAUCUUCGAGACUUGCUUCUGCUACUUUCGUGGAAAGCUAGCAGCUGUGGGCAUAUUGAGGGGGCAUUCCCUUUCUGCACAAAACUUAAUAGUGGAUGACGCGUACUGUGCUUUGUACUGAAAUUUGUUGGACGCCGGGUACUGCCAUUUUGUGCUGAACUUAAUUCAAACUAUCAAACCACCAGCUUGUUAUUUUGUUGCUUCAUUCUUUCUGUUCGUAAAUCUUGCUUUUGCACUUGUCUACUAUUCGCUUCAUUUUUCAGGUUUUGUGAUUAAUGGUUCUCGAGGCAGUUGUUUGCCAUCUUUUAGGCUGUGAAAGAUGGCACGCUAACUACAUCAAACACUGCCAAUUGCUUAUAAAAUUAGUUUCAGAUAA